GAUGAACGCUGGCGGCGUGCUUAACACAUGCAAGUCGAACGAUGAAGCUGGAGCUUGCUCUGGUGGAUUAGUGGCGAACGGGUGAGUAACACGUGAGCAACCUGCCCCUGACUCUGGGAUAACAGCCGGAAACGGCUGCUAAUACCGGAUAUGCACCACGAACGCAUGUUCUGUGGUGGGAAAGAUUUUUCGGUUGGGGAUGGGCUCGCGGCCUAUCAGCUUGUUGGUGAGGUAAUGGCUCACCAAGGCGUCGACGGGUAGCCGGCCUGAGAGGGUGACCGGCCACACUGGGACUGAGACACGGCCCAGACUCCUACGGGAGGCAGCAGUGGGGAAUAUUGCACAAUGGGCGAAAGCCUGAUGCAGCAACGCCGCGUGAGGGAUGACGGCCUUCGGGUUGUAAACCUCUUUUAGCAGGGAAGAAGCGAGAGUGACGGUACCUGCAGAAAAAGCGCCGGCUAACUACGUG
rnacentral:rRNA from 1 species